AUUGCCUGCAUCACGGAUGAACUGAAAUCCUGCAAACAGGAGCAAGCUGCUCGACAGGAGACUGUCUAGCCUCAAUCAGGACAAAAUAUGGAUAGAUGAGAAGAUAACCUGUCAGAAUUUAAACAAGGCUUUUAAACAGAAAAAGACAUGAGUGUUUGUAAACUGGAUCUGUCCUUCAGAAUUCACUUCUCAAAAGCAGAAUAACAGACCAUUACAGCAGUUCAGCCUGGACCAUGA